rnacentral:rRNA from 1 species
UAGGGAAUCUUCCGCAAUGGACGAAAGUCUGACGGAGCAACGCCGCGUGAGUGAAGAAGGUUUUCGGAUCGUAAAGCUCUGUUGUUAAGGAAGAACGAGUGUGAGAAUGGAAAGUUCAUGCUGUGACGGUACUUAACCAGAAAGCCACGGCUAACUACGUGCCAGCAGCCGCGGUAAUACGUAGGUGGCAAGCGUUGUCCGGAAUUAUUGGGCGUAAAGCGCGCGCAGGUGGUUUAGAAAGUCUGAUGUGAAAGCCCACGGCUCAACCGUGGAGGGUCAUUGGAAACUAAUAAACUUGAGUGCAGGAGAGAAAAGUGGAAUUCCUAGUGUAGCGGUGAAAUGCGUAGAGAUUAGGAGGAACACCGGUGGCGAAAGCGGCUUUUUGGCCUGCAACUGACACUGAGGCGCGAAAGCGUGGGGAGCAAACAGG